GAGGGUAAGGCUCCCAGGAGACGACUGGGUUGAUAGGCCGGAUAUGGAAGCCCAGUGAUGGGUGGAGUUGACCGGUACUAAUAGGCCGAGGGCUUGUCCUCAGGUG
rnacentral:rRNA from 1 species